UUAAUGGGUGGGUGAAUUAAAAUUUUUUUACAAAAUUAUUGUUUCUGAACUGAAUAGAACGAAGUCCCACCGUUUGAUUCGGGGUUAAGUAAAAACUUGUUAUUUUAGGGAUAAAGUUAAGUUCAGAGUUAAGGUAGGGUUAGAGUAAUUUUGUGUUUGGUUGAGAAUUGGGUUUAGUCCAGAUAUAGAUAAAAUAGUAUUUGGUUGGGGUAGUUGGGAUAAGAAAGAUAUAGUGGGUAAAAUAGUGUUUUGUUUGGUUGGAGUAAUGGGGUGGGAUUAGUUACCCCACCCCCCAAAUUAGGUGUUUGGGAAUAACUUCGGGGUUAAGGGGUUAUUCUAUCCCUUAAUCCCGAACCAAACGGGUGCUUAGUAAGAGUUUGUUAGGCUCUAUUGUAUAAUGUAAUUUUGGUUGAUAAAGCGGUGUUUAAAAUGCGGUAUUAGUAGAAUCCUUGGUAUGAAAUU
rnacentral:lncRNA from 1 species